AUAAAAAAAUGCAUCGAAAUUGGACUGCAAUGUGUUGAGACUGAUCGGCAGAGGAGACCUUCCAUAGAAGCAAUUAUCAACCAGCUCAAUGGACGGCAUUCUAAUUGAGCUAGGAUGUCGUACUGAUCUCCAAUCUCCAGGGAGAAUUAAGUUUGGGUCUUCUUCAGGAGACAUGUGCAAGAAGCAAAGGACAUGCUUGGCUGUUUGCCAAAGUUGAAAUAAGUUGAAAUAACUUCCAUUUCUUAUGAUGAUUGCUACUCCAUGUAUAUUUUCCUGGUAAUGGACUUCUUUAUAGUCCAGAUUUAAGUGCCACGUAAGAAUUUUAUUCUCCCUGUGGAGAUUUUAAGAUGCGCCAACUUUUUCUCAAGGACAAUUAGAGUAUGUGUAGUUCUAAUUUCUAAACAUAAUACACUCUCACAUUUAAUUUACCAAAA
rnacentral:rRNA from 1 species